UACAGAGAGUGCAAGCGUUAAUCGGAAUCACUGGGCGUAAAGCGCGCGUAGGUGGAUAUUUAAGUCGAAUGUGAAAUACCUGGGCUUAACUUGGGAACUGCAUCCGAUACUGGAUGGCUUGAAUCCGGGAGAGGGAUGCAGAAUUCCAGGUGUAGCGGUGAAAUGCGUAGAUAUCUGGAGGAACACCGGUGGCGAAGGCGACAUCCUGGACCGGUAUUGACGCUGAGGCGCGAAAGCCAGGGGAGCAAACGGG
rnacentral:rRNA from 1 species